UACGUAGGUGGCAAGCGUUGUCCGGAUUUACUGGGCGUAAAGAGCGCGCAGGCGGUCGUUCAAGUCGAGUGUGAAAGCCCCCGGCUCAACUGGGGAGGGUCACUCGAUACUGAUCGACUCGAAGGCAGAAGAGGGAAGCGGAAUUCCCGGUGUAGUGGUGAAAUGCGCAGAUAUCGGGAGGAACACCAGUGGCGAAGGCGGCUUUCUGGUCUGCUCUUGACGCUGAGGCGCGAAAGCUAGGGUAGCAAACGGG
rnacentral:rRNA from 1 species